rnacentral:rRNA from 1 species
ACUCCUACGGGAGGCAGCAGUGGGGAAUCUUAGACAAUGGGCGCAAGCCUGAUCUAGCCAUGCCGCGUGAGUGAUGAAGGCCUUAGGGGUCGUAAAGCUCUUUCGCCAGGGAUGAUAAUGACAGUACCUGGUAAACGAAACCCCGGCUAACUCCGUGCCAGCAGCCGCGGUAAUACGGAGGGGUUUAGCGUUGUUCGGAAUUACUGGGCGUAAAGCGCGCGUAGGCGGAUUAGUCAGUUAGAGGUGAAAUCCCAGGGCUCAACCCUGGAACUGCCUUUAAUACUGCUAGUCUUGAGUUCGAGAGAGGUGAGUGGAAUUCCGAGUGUAGAGGUGAAAUUCGUAGAUAUUCGGAGGAACACCAGUGGCGAAGGCGGCUCACUGGCUCGAUACUGACGCUGAGGUGCGAAAGUGUGGGGAGCAAACAGGAUUAGAUACCCUGGUAGCGACUGA